rnacentral:sRNA from 1 species
CCCACGGCUUGCGCCGUGGGCUAAAAUCUGUCGCCCCUUUCGGGGCU